AGUAACACGUGGGUAACCUGCCUUAUAGUGGGGGAUAGCCUUUCGAAAGGAAGAUUAAUACCGCAUAAGAUUGUAGUAUCGCAUGAUAUAGCAAUUAAAGGUGCAAUUCGCUAUAAGAUGGACCCGCGUCGCAUUAGCUAGUUGGUGAGGUAAUGGCUUACCAAGGCGACGAUGCGUAGCCGACCUGAGAGGGUGAACGGCCACAUUGGGACUGAGACACGGCCCAGACUCCUACGGGAGGCAGCAUG
rnacentral:rRNA from 1 species